GGUCAGGUAGCCCAGUGGUUAAGGCGUUGCCUUUACACGGCAAAGGUCGUGGGUUCAAUCCCCACCCAGAUCA
rnacentral:tRNA from 2 species